CUUCCGGGACGCGCCUACGGCGACUUCGCCGCCGAAGCUUUGUGCGUCGGUUCGCGACUUCGCUGACGAAGCUGGGGCGACUCCGCGGGACGGCAGCGCACUGCAGCAGCCCCGCGCCCUUAGUGCAUCAAGGAUCCUGAGCUGCCAGGGGCCUGGCCACUCCCGCCCUGAGCCCUGUCUUGGCUGAGCUGGUCAUCGCUGCGUGCCCCGGGCUGCCGGCCUGCCUGUCAUCUGCAGUGCACAGAUGUCUCUGGCUGUGCCGUGUGGAGUGUUCAUGUCUGGAUUGCGUGGGAGUCUGGCCCCUCUGCUCCAACGGCUGCUUUCCUGGAGGAAACUGGCCUGUUUGCCACCUCUCCUGAUGCCCAGAGCGGUGGCCGGUGCAGGAAGUCCCUCUUCCUUCUCUCAGUGUCUGCACUUCCCCACGGGACAUUUUGUCUCAGUUCUGACAUCUCCCCAGCUAGAAGAGAGACCCUCAAAGGCGUGCAGGCAGGGUCUCACAUGAUCACCCCACUGGAGUGCAGUGGCACAAGCUCCGCUCACUGCAACCACCACAUCCCAGG